rnacentral:rRNA from 1 species
UGGGGAAUAUUGCACAAUGGGCGCAAGCCUGAUGCAGCCAUGCCGCGUGUGUGAAGAAGGCCUUCGGGUUGUAAAGCACUUUCAGCGAGGAGGAAGGUGGUGAGCUUAAUACGCUCAUCAAUUGACGUUACUCGCAGAAGAAGCACCGGCUAACUCCGUGCCAGCAGCCGCGGUAAUACGGAGGGUGCAAGCGUUAAUCGGAAUUACUGGGCGUAAAGCGCACGCAGGCGGUUUGUUAAGUCAGAUGUGAAAUCCCCGGGCUCAACCUGGGAACUGCAUUUGAAACUGGCAAGCUAGAGUCUCGUAGAGGGGGGUAGAAUUCCAGGUGUAGCGGUGAAAUGCGUAGAGAUCUGGAGGAAUAUCGGUGGCGAAGGCGGCCCCCUGGACGAAGACUGACGCUCAGGUGCGAAAGCGUGGGGCAGCAAACAGGAUUAGAUACCCUGGUAGUCCAGCGCUGUAAACGAUGUCGAUUUGGAGGUUGUGCCCUUGAGGCGUGGCUUCCGGAGCUAACGCGUUAAAUCGACCGCCUGGGGAGUACGGCCGCAAGGUUAAAACUCAAAUGAAUUGAC